GCACCGGUGGUGUAAUGGCGCAGAGCAUUCCCGCCCGGUUAGAGGGAGGUGCGGGUUCGAGUCCCGCCUGGCGCU
rnacentral:tRNA from 1 species